GGCGAGAUGGCCGAGCGGUCUAAGGCGCCAGACUAAGGACUAGGUCAUCAAGAUGACCACAAGUAUAUCUGGUCCGAAAGGGCGUGGGUUCGAAUCCCACUCUCGUCA